rnacentral:rRNA from 1 species
UGGGGAAUAUUGCGCAAUGGCCGAAAGGCUGACGCAGCGACGCCGCGUGGGGGAUGAAGCAUUUCGGUGUGUAAACCCCUGUUGCCCGGGACGAACAAGCAGAUUUUUCUGCUCUGACGGUACCGGGUGAGGAAGCACCGGCUAACUCCGUGCCAGCAGCCGCGGUAAUACGGAGGGUGCGAGCGUUGUCCGGAAUCACUGGGCGUAAAGGGCGCGUAGGCGGAUGCGCAAGUUGGGGGUGAAAUCCCGGGGCUUAACCUCGGAAUUGCCCUCAAAACUGAACGUCUUGAGACCGAGAGAGGUAAGGGGAAUUCCUAGUGUAGAGGUGAAAUUCGUAGAUAUUAGGAAGAACACCAGUGGCGAAGGCGCCUUACUGGCUCGGUACUGACGCUGAGGUACGAAAGCGUGGGGAGCAAACA